rnacentral:rRNA from 1 species
UACGAGAGGCCCAAACGUUAUUCGGAAUCACUGGGCUUAAAGAGUUCGUAGGCGGCGCAGAAAGUAGGGUGUGAAAGCCCUCGGCUUAACCGAGGAAUUGCGCCCUAAACUACUGUGCUUGAGGAACCUAGAGGUGAGCAGAACAGAUGGUGGAGCGGUGAAAUGCGUUGAUAUCAUCUGGAAUACCGGAGGCGAAGGCGGCUCGCUGGGGGUUUUCUGACGCUGAGGAACGAAAGCCAGGGUAGCGAACGGG